GACGAACGCUGGCGGCGUGCCUAAUACAUGCAAGUUGAGCGCUGAAGGUUGGUACUUGUACCAACUGGAUGAGCAGCGAACGGGUGAGUAACGCGUGGGGAAUCUGCCUUUGGGCGGGGGACAACAUUUGGAAACGAAUGCUAAUACCGCAUAAAAACUUUAAACACAAGUUUUAAGUUUGAAAGAUGCAAUUGCAUCACUCAAAGAUGAUCCCGCGUUGUAUUAGCUAGUUGGUGAGGUAAAGGCUCACCAAGGCGAUGAUACAUAGCCGACCUGAGAGGGUGAUCGGCCACAUUGGGACUGAGACACGGCCCAAACUCCUACGGGAGGCAGCAGUAGGGAAUCUUCGGCAAUGGACGAAAGUCUGACCGAGCAACGCCGCGUGAGUGAAGAAGGUUUUCGGAUCGUAAAACUCUGUUGGUAGAGAAGAACGUUGGUGAGAGUGGAAAGCUCAUCAAGUGACGGUAACUACCCAGAAAGGGACGGCUAACUACGUG
rnacentral:rRNA from 1 species